GCCACGGGGGUCUAGCGGUCAGAACACUAGCCUUGUAAGCCUGGGGUCCCGGGUUCAAUUCCCGGUGGUGCUC
rnacentral:tRNA from 1 species